rnacentral:rRNA from 1 species
UACGGAAGGCAGCAGUGGGGAAUAUUGCACAAUGGGCGCAAGCCUGAUGCAGCCAUGCCGCGUGUAUGAAGAAGGCCUUCGGGUUGUAAAGUACUUUCAGCGGGGAGGAAGGCGGUGAAGUUAAUAGCUUCACCGAUUGACGUUACCCGCAGAAGAAGCACCGGCUAACUCCGUGCCAGCAGCCGCGGUAAUACGGAGGGUGCAAGCGUUAAUCGGAAUUACUGGGCGUAAAGCGCACGCAGGCGGUCUGUCAAGUCGGAUGUGAAAUCCCCGGGCUUAACCUGGGAACUGCAUUCGAAACUGGCAGGCUAGAGUCUUGUAGAGGGGGUAGAAUUCCAGGUGUAGCGGUGAAAUGCGUAGAGAUCUGGAGGAAUACCGGUGGCGAAGGCGGCCCCUGGGACAAAGCUGACGCUCAGGUGCGAAAGCGUGGGGAGCAAACAGGGAUUAGAUACC